CUCGUGCAAAGUACCCAUCUCAUUCAGACCCAUCAGAUACGACCAGAAUCUCCGUUCCUGGAGAGCCAGGCUUCGCUCGUUCCGUCCUCUCGCAGCUCUGUCCUCGCGUGGAGCUCACGCUAGGGUUGCCACCGCCUCGCCUGGAGCUCGCCUCGCCGCCUCGCCUGGAGCUCGCGCUAGGGCCAGGGUCCUCUCACAGCAGCCUCUGUCCUCGCCUAGAGCUCGCGCUAGGGUUCCUCUCGCAGUCGUCGCUGUUGACCGUCCUCGCCUGGAGCUUGCGCUAGGGUUCCUCUCGCAGUCGUCGCUGUUGAGGUCAGACUCUGCCUUCUCCUCUCGCCCUCUAGCUCUCUCUCUCCCAUCUCCUCUCGCCCUCCAGCUCUCCCUCUCCCGUCUCCUCUCCUCGCUCCGAACACUGGCUCAUCCCGUCCCGAUCUGCCCGUGCUGGCGCUGCCGCCUCAUGCCUGGUUCGCUUUCUGGUUAGAGACGUCGCGGCGUGAUGUUUGGAGGAAGGGCGGGAUUCGGCGGCGGGGCAUUUAGUUUUGGGUGGUCUGAUUUGGCUAUAACGUGUGAUUGUCUUCUUCAGAGCUCAUUGUUAUGGGCUGGGUACUGGUUAUGGAUCUGAAUGGGCUCAUAGAUCCAAGCGAAUUAGGAAUGCCCAAUUCUUGCCUAGCAGGAUGCGUCGAUUGGCUCACAUUUGAGGCUCGGGAUCCGCUGAUUGGUUCACUUUUGAGCUCGAAACCAGAUGAGGAGGUGCCAUACAAUUGUCGUAGGAUCAUACUGCAGUCUGCAGCCUAUCACAUACAUUUCUUUGUAUUAGACUUCCGUGUGGGGCAAACCUUUGGGAAAGAGAAGAGCUAGAUCAUGCAGAAGAGGAGAAGCAUUGAUCAAAUUGUUCAGAAAAGAGUACUCCGAACUGAAAACAGAAUGAGUGGCUGCAAUGGACGCUGGUAAACUGCUAAUGCAUACUUGUAAACUACAAUUUUGUAAAGUGUUCUUGUGCCUCAGUAUCAAUAUUAUAAUUGUAAUUUAUAAUUUUGUAAAGGAUAUGUAAAGGAUAAGUUAUUGUAAUUUAUAAUUGUAUAAAUUUGGUUUUGUGUAAUUUAUGGCGUUGUAAUUUAUGGCA